rfam:Ovis aries breed Texel chromosome 6, whole genome shotgun sequence.
UGGCUCAGACGGUAAAGCGUCUGCCUAUAAUGCAGAAGACCCAGGUUCAAUCCCUGG